CUUCUCGUAGUUCAGUUGGAUAGAACGCCAGUUUGCGGAACUGGAGGUCACAGGUUCGAAUCCUGCCGAGAAGGCCA
rnacentral:tRNA from 1 species